rnacentral:rRNA from 1 species
UACGGGGGGGGCAAGCGUUGUUCGGAAUUACUGGGCGUAAAGGGCUCGUAGGUGGCCAACUAAGUCAGACGUGAAAUCCCCAGGCUCAACUUGGGAACUGCGUCUGAUACUGGAUGGCUUGAAUUCGGGAGAGGGAUGCAGAAUUCCAGGUGUAGCGGUGAAAUGCGUAGAUAUCUGGAGGAAUACCGGUGGCGAAGGCGGCAUCCUGGACCGAGAUUGACACUGAGGAGCGAAAGCCAGGGGAGCAAACGGG